GUGCCUAUACGAUCUACUUAAAGGACCACCUCAGCUCAAUGAAGUGGUCUGGGUGCCAGGUCCCUCUAGUGUUAGCCCUGCUAUGUUUACACUAGAGUUAAUCCAGCCUCUAGUGGCUGUCUCACUGACCGCCGCUACUCACAAAAAAAAUAUAAAAAUAUAACAGUGAGAAGAUGCUGGACGUCCAUAGGAAAGCAUUGAGAAAUGCUUUCCUAUGGGCAGUUUGAAUGUGUGCGGCUCUUGCCGUGCAUGUGCAUUAGGUGCUGACGUCGGCAGGAGUAGGAGAGUUCCCUGGCACUGGAGAAAGGUAAGUGGCUGAAGGGGUUUGGGACCCUGAGGGCGAGGGGGGGACCUAAAGACCCUAUAGUGCCAGGAAAACGAGUUUGUUUUCCUGGCACUAUAGUGGUCCUUUAAUAAUGCAACAAACUCCUGGAUAUAGGAAAAAUCUGUUUUAGACCAAG